rnacentral:rRNA from 1 species
AACGAACGCUGGCGGCAUGCCUAACACAUGCAAGUCGAACGAGACCUUCGGGUCUAGUGGCGCACGGGUGCGUAACGCGUGGGAACCUGCCCUUAGGUUCGGAAUAACUCCCCGAAAGGGGUGCUAAUACCGGAUAAUGUCUUCGGCCCAAAGAUUUAUCGCCUUUGGAUGGGCCCGCGUUGGAUUAGCUAGUUGGUAGGGUAAAAGCCUACCAAGGCGACGAUCCAUAGCUGGUCUGAGAGGAUGAUCAGCCACACUGGGACUGAGACACGGCCCAGACUCCUACGGGAGGCAGCAGUGGGGAAUAUUGGACAGUGGGCGAAAGCCUGAUCCAGCAAUGCCGCGUGAGUGAUGAAGGCCUUAGGGUUGUAAAGCUCUUUUACCCGGGAUGAUAAUGACAGUACCGGGAGAAUAAGCUCCGGCUAACUCCGU